rnacentral:rRNA from 1 species
CAAUAGCGUAUAUUAAUACUGUUGCAGUUAAAAAGCUCGUAGUUGAAGCUAACAGAGAUUUUCUCUGUGAUACAAGGAUAGUUUCAUCCCAUUAAUUUGGGGUGUUUGCGAACCUUGUCGUUUACCGUGAAAAAAGUAGGGUGUUCAAAACAGGCGAUCGCUCGGAUAUACUAGCAUGGAAUGAUAGAUACGACCUUGGUCGAAUUUUGUUGGUGUUGACUGGGGUAAUGAAUAAUAGGAACAGUCGUGGGUAUCCGUAUGAGCAUGUCAGAGGUGAAAUUCUUGGAUUUUGCUCAGACGAACCACUGCGAAAGCAUUUACCAAGAAUGUUUUCAUUAA